CCCAUCCUCUCCCCGCGUCGGAACACUCCCACUACCCUGGGCGUCCCCCCAUCCACCCCAACAUCAUGAGAUGCCGGAUCGAGCCCAUCCCCGCCGCCAUGGUCACCGGCUUGCCCCCCCAAUCCAAGCACCAACAAAUUCUUAAUCUUCCACUCUACUUUGUUGCGUCCCCAUGCCAGCCCGCGUGAGGCGGAGCCAUUGGAUCGAUAGUGUGUGUGAUAUAUGUGCAUGUGCGUGCGCCUGAACGCUAGGACGGUGUGCAGGAGCCCCCCCCCCUUCUCCUCCCUUUUCCUCUCUCCCCACGCUCAUAGUGGAGCUUAAGCUCAGCGGAAGUUCUUGGGGGCAGAGGAACAAGACGAUCAGGUAGAAGGCGUGGACGUUGGGGAUGGCUGCGCACGGAGGAGGGCGCGAACACUGGGAUGGGUGCUAGCUGGCCUGGCCGAUGAGUGCAUCAAGGUUGAUAAGUAUAAUGUUAUUAAUUUUGCUGCUCUGCCUUGAUAUACUGCUAUUGAAUAUAUAAAGAGACCGUAGAGGAAAGCACUGCUGCGAUUUUCUCAUGCUGCUACUGGUUUUCUUCAUGUUGUUACUUGCUUACUGAUUACAACUGGUGCUACUAGGUACUCGCUUCAUGAUAUGUAGAUAUGUAUGCUGCUUCUAGGUACUUGUAAACAUGGUGACAAGGGACCGGGGCUGCAGCGGUAGGCGUCUGGUGACCAUGCAGUUGCAGCUGCUACUUAGAUACAUAAUGUAGCCUGCAAUUGUGAGAAUACUUUGAUCUUGAUAUAUUAUAUGCAAGCCCCAUACACCAUAGGAGGUCCUCCUUUUGGUGAUAUCAGCCGGUGAGCUUUCUCCAUCACCACCUUCUAAAAUAGAUUGGUUCUGCAUUAUGCGUCUGUGGCUUAGAUAAGAAAGGAAUGUUUCUAUCUGAAUAUUAUCAAGUUAUUCUUUCUUUGUUUAAAUCGAUUUAGGAGAAGAGAUAGAGAGAAGAAUAAGUUACUGGUGUGGUUCAUUUCGGAAAUUCAGUACUUUGUUUAUACUGCUUUUUUUAGGGGAUGAAAUAAAGAGAAGAAAAUAAAUUCCUGUGAUGCAUCUCUAUGAAAGUUGUUACAUGGUGUUGGGUUUGGCCUUCAUUCAAUCUUCAUAUUAUAUGGUUUGGUAAGAUUUUCCUUUUUUGCAAAUUUGAUUUCUUAAUGGUGUGUACGCCAGCAUCCGUCUCCCACUGGCUGUGUCCCUUGUGCGCUCGCGGACAGCAGCCGGGUCUGCGGGAGACGAGGAAUAUCCCGUGUUUAUUCUGUGGAGCAUUGCAAGCUCUGAACUAUUCAUAUUACCGUGACGAAGCCGCCCCGUCUCAGUUCUUGGCUUUCAGGAUACGUGCCGCCAGCAGUAGCGCAAUCACACUGGCACAGCACCCCGCAUCAUCUAUGCCGAUGCUACUAUGUUCUGCCUCCAUGCUUCGCCGUUGUGAUUCCAUCCGCCGGGAGGUGCACGCACAUAGAUUUCGUCCCCAAUACUGCAUAUGUUAUUUGCUUAUUAUUGGAUCAACUUCAGGUCUACAAUAGUUGAUAUGAUGUCAUCCCCAGUAUUAUUUAUUUGAUUAGCUCUUCUAGAGAUAUAGACUAAUCAGUAGCUUAAUAAUUUAUAAUCACUUGGGCCAAUUACCUGAUGGGAGACAGGGAGAACGAUUGUUGAAGAGCCUUAGGCAAUCUGCUUACAGAACUUUGCAUGGGCUAGAAUCAAGCAAACACGAUGACUGGCAUGUAGACAAAGUUCCAGAUAAUAUAACUGCAAAAUUGGACAAAUACCUUUAGAGGAAACUUGUAUGCUCGACAUUCUUGACCAUGUCAAAGCUCAUGCAUGACUAACUAUAUCCUCAGGUGAUUUGUAUUAUCUAGAAGGUGAGCUUCAAAAUUUUGUACAUUAGUGUUUCCAACAGUUCAUAGCUGCUCCUUUACUCCACUGUCGGUAUUUAGUUGGAUGGUCGCUGUUUUAAAUCCUGUUACAAGUGAUGCACUUCAGUCAGUUCUAUUUAUCUGUGUCUUUGCUGCCAAUAGCUGAUAUAAUUUCAUUGUGAACACGGAAGUACAACAGCUCUAUUGUCAUUCAUGGUUGUUGGCCUAUGCCCUAUAGAGAGAAUAAUUAGUAUUUGCCCCUAUGUGUGAGACUGUAGUUGUGCCGUAUGCCUAUUCUAUCAUUUUCGUCAUUGACAAAUGUAGGUAGCAAAUUAUCUUUGCAAAAUGUUGUGGCUGCGGUGUUUGUCUUGUCAAUUCUUCAUUUCCUUCCUUUCUGAUAAAGUGUUAGUUUGCAUUUGUUAUGUUUUAUUUUUCUCUAUGUUAAUUUCUUGGUGCUGACUUCACAUUGCGCAUAUAUGGAGAAACAUCCAAUUUUUCAAGCCACGUCUUGAAUAUUUGUUUCCUGGCUGUUUGUUAUCAACAUUAUCUUCGCAUAAACCUGGUUGAUGUAAUAAAGUUACAAAUAGUCCAAUAGUAAUAUUUUUGUAUGUGCAGAUUGUUAUAUAUACUACAUACCAUUUUUUGUGAGAAGGUAGAUGAGCGCGAACUCGAGGACUAAGAUUGUUGGCACAUAUGUUUUGAGAAAAUGACUAAAAGAAGGGUAUACUUUGCUUGGCGAAUGAUUCCAUGGCCUCAUAGAUGCCUAAGGUGUGUAACUAAGCAUGAAUGGGUGUAAAAUAUUGCUUCUCUUCAUGGUGGCAGUGUAUGUAGAUUCGUGUAGCAGUUCUUUUUCGCGUGGUAGAUUCUUGUAGCAGUUAAUGGGAUGCGGACUGGAGGUGGAUCAUGUGUUAACCAAAAGCUGGUUGGGGUGGUCGCAGUUGCCAAAUGUGUCUGGAUGGAUUUUGUAUUUGUUGCAUGCUCUCCGGCCCCCUCAAUAUGGGACAAGAAGGAGAAAGCUGGGCAGGAAGAACAUAAGUAUUCUGCAAAGUGAAAAUUGAGAAGAAAUGUUUGGCUUGGACGGAGGUUCAUCAGUCGAUUUGCUUGAUGUGUACUUAUCAACAAUAUGGCAUCUUUUUUGAUAGAUGUCUUGGUACAUAUUUAAUUGUUUAGUAGGCUCUUCACCCUUCAGUAAACAAUCCCCGCCCUCUUUUGUGAUUCCGUAGCGUAAGCAAAGGCAUCUUACUAGUAUAGUAUAUACCCGUAAUCACCUCCCGAGUGAUCACGUCCCGAUAGUAUAGCACGGCAGACUGACAAGAAUGUAGGGCCACUAAUGGUAAACUAGCAUCCUAUACUAAGCAUUUAGGAUUGCAUGUAAGGUAUCAACAGAUGUAGCAACAAUGACAGGCUAUGCAACAGAAUAGGAUUAAUCGAAACAGUAACAUGCUACACUACUCUAACGCAAGCAGUAGAGGGAAGAAUAGGUGAUAUCUGGUGAUCAAGGGGGGGGGGCUUGCCUGGUUGCUCUGGCAACUAGGGGUCAUCA
rnacentral:lncRNA from 1 species